CUAGGCAUAUCUCCCCGCCAUUCCCCAUUCUUGUGGUCGCUAGCUACCCCUCUCCACCGCGUCAAGCCGGCCCUCGCUACGCUCAGGCGCUCAGCCGUGGCCGCACCACGCCCAGCUGACUCUACCGUCAGCGCCGCGCCUGCUGCAGCUGCCGCCGUCGCCGCGCCUGCUGCAGCUGUCGCCGCCGCCAAAUCUCUGCCAGCGGGAUGCGGAGGCGUGGGAUUCGAAUUUGGUCGCCGGAUCCGCUCGAGCUCUAUCGGGCGACCCAGCGCAAGCGCCGUCUGAGGCGGAUGCGGAGGAGUGGGAUUCGUCUCCAACAGAUCGGUGGCCGUGGCCAUCCCGCGCCGGUGUUGACCGAGCAACGUGGGUCCCGCCGCCUCACCAGAUGAGCGGUUCGGGUGCUUUUCUUUCCCGGCGAGCUGCCCCGUGCUUGCCCCCAGAUGAGCGUCGGCCUGCCUAGGGGAGUAGUCGAAGAAGCGGCGUCGCGCUCAUCCUCGCCUUCGCCCGAUGCGAGAACUCCCGCUCCGUGCGCCGCCGGCAGCUGGGAAAGAGCAUUGAUGGGAUGGUCAUGGAAGAUGAGGUCAAGAAGGUGCAGGAUGAACGUUGAUGGGAUGCUCAGGGAAGAUGAGGCCAAGGUGGAUACGCCCAUGAUGCAUGGAUGCAUGUAUGAAUUAUACUUGCACAAACAUACCGUGACAAGUAUCUCAUGCCAAGCUUUAGUUUUGCUAAGAGAUCUUGUUGCUCGUAUCUCAUGCCAAGCUUUAGUCCCUCUGCCUCCUUAAUUCCUUAGGAUCUGCGUAGAUAAUAAAACUAAUUAGUGUAAAUAGACAGGGUUGUAUAUACUUUGUUGAUAGUCAUUACCAAUGGACAUGGACACCGGUGUACGUCUUUCAUUUUCCUGGGCAUUGUUGUUAGCAGAAACAACGACCAUUGUUGACUCACUGUAGGGCUGAUGUUGCCUCCUAAGCUCGUCAGGGUCUAAUAUAUGAUACAUUAUAGUUAUACUUUAGCAUACAAAGGUAGUAUUUGGAUAAUACAGAAGCAUUCAGUACAAGGGCAUUAACCUUGGGCUAUCGGCUCGGGUGUAUGUGCUACAUUCUGCUCAUCACCAAGCAGUGCCGUUGAAGCCUGUUUCUUUUCACGGGCUUCACGAUGUCUUC